ACCAGCCCCAAAACCAACAUUGUAACCCCCUUAAAUCCCCAGUCCAUAUUCCAGCCCCAAAGCCCCCUUUUUAACCCCCAAAAGUCCAAAGAGUCCCAAAACCAGCCCCAAAAUCCACAUUAUAACCCCCUAAAGCCCCCAGAGUCCCAAUCCCAGACCCAAGACCCCCUUUUUAACCCCCUAAAGCCCGAAGAGUACCAAUCCCAGCCCCAAAACCCUCUUCUAGAGUCCCAGAACCAGCAUCCAGGACGUAGCCCAGUUUAGCGAUGGUUUUAACGACGGGGAAGCUGAUUAAAUGUAGACGGUUGAACGUAAAGUCUGCCUAUAAGCCCCUCCCUCUUAUCUCUGACCUUCACAGAGGCCAUGAGGAAUAAAGCGCGUCUGUCCAUCACAGGAAGUGUCGGGGAGAACGGACGGGUUUUAACGCCCGACUGUCCGAAAGCGGUCCACGCGGGACCUCCGAUCCGCCAGAGCUCCGGCCUCGCCCUCGUCUCCUCAGAACUCCCGUGAAAACCAAAAACCUCUCAAGUGCCUUAAAUCCUGAAACCAGAAAAAAAAAAAAAAAAACAAUAAUCACACCGCCAACGAAAACUACCAGAAACUUCUUCACCACCAAGAGAACCGGAAACGAGGGUGAGACGGAUCCGGGAAGUUAGAGGAAAAACGAACAAUGAUUUUUUUUUCGGAAAUCUACGGAAACCAGAAAAAACAAUCUAGAUUUUCUUUUUUUUCUCGUGGAUGUUUGAAUCAAAAGGGGAUCCAGUGGAGCCAUUCCCUGGUGAAGAGGAGCAGACAAGGAGGAAUAAUAUCAUGAAAUAUGAUAAAGACCAGAAAACUGUAAACUUGAAACGUAUUUUUUUGGGAUUGCUGUGAAUCGGGAAUAUAAAAAAAUAAAAACUGAACUUACAAAUCAAGAUUGUUUUCAAAACUGAAAUUGCUCCACGGACUCGAGCAGAACUAGAUAUCAACACCGGGAGGACAGUAGCCCCGGUGAGGAGAAGAAGAAACACAUUUGUACUCAUAACACAAAUCUAAUGAAAUUGAAUAUAUGAGCAAACAUAGGAGAAACUGUGAAGAUAAGUAAAUAUGUAUAUUCAGUGGAAAAAAUACUUUAGCUGUACAUAGAGACGACUGUGUAACAUGCUUGCUUUUUAAACAGAUGUACAUAGCAGUAGUGGACAGACGGACAGUUGUUUUUUUGUAAAAUCAUCUUUAAAUAAGAUUUUAUUCAUCGCAAUAAUGAAAAACAUGACGGAGGAGUUAAAGUGUUAUGUGUUAUUGUAUUCUCUAAAUGUGAAAAGGGGGUAUCGACUGCCCAGAUACUCUGAUACCCAGAUUCAUUAAUAUAUUCAACGAUGAAUGUUAAAGUAGCUCCACCCCCAACCCUUAAAAACAGAACACCCCCUCACUGUGUAGACCCAGAGAGACGCUUAUUAUUAUGAGUAUUUAUAAACUUUCUGCCGUCAGAAUAUAACUAUUUUUCUCAUUCUUUGAUCUAUUUUUUGUACCGAGGAACUAAACUGUCUGUCUCCUGGUUUGAAAUGUCCAAUAUGGGUGUAUAUCUUCAUAGAUGUGUGUGUGAGGCGAGAACCAUGAAGGGAAGAUGAUCAAAAAAAGGCCCAUUCGUUUCUCAAUAUGUUAUUUCAAGUGACACUGUGGAUUUUGGGAAGCUGGACACACCGUAGCAGACAGUCUUCCCACUGAAGUGUCCUCAUCUCUUUUUAUUUUUGGGACAACCUGCAAUAGGAUACAAGAAGCCACAUCAGCAGCAGCCGGCGACGAACACGGCGUCGUUUCUAAAUGUUUUCCGUUUGAAUCCCAAAAGGCAGGAGGAAACUGUUGGAGAUAUUUCAGGUCAUGCCUUUGUUUGUCCUGCCAUCCGUCUGUUUAGAGCUGAAGAGUAAUAUGGCGUCUUCUUUUUGGGUUUUAAUUGUACAUCUUUAUUUUGAUCUUUUUUAAGUAAAAAAAACAAAUUUCAAA